rnacentral:rRNA from 1 species
UACGUAGGGUGCAGGCGUUAAUCGGAAUUACUGGGCGUAAAGCGUGCGCAGGCGGUUUGCUAAGUCAGGUGUGAAAUCCCCGGGCUUAACCUGGGAACUGCGCUUGUUACUGGCAGGCUUGAGUGUGGCAGAGGGGGGUGGAAUUCCACGUGUAGCAGUGAAAUGCGUAGAGAUGGGGAGGAACACCGAUGGCGAAGGCAGCCCCCUGGGCUAACACUGACGCUCAUGCACGAAAGCGUGGGGAGCAAACAGG